rnacentral:lncRNA from 1 species
GAAUUGUUUUAUAUUAGUCAGUGGUCUAACAGAUAGUAUUAGGAGGAAUUGUUUUAUAUUAGUCAGUGGUCUAACAGACAGGAGGUAUUGUUUUAUAUUAGUCAGUGGUCUAACAGACAGGAGGAAUUGUUUUAUAUUAGUCAGUGGUCUAACAGACAGGAGGAAUUGUUUUAUAUUAGUCAGUGGUCUAACAGACAGGAGGUAUUGUUUUAUAUUAGUCAGUGGUCUAACAGACAGGAGGAAUUGUUUUAUAUUAGUCAGUGGUCUAACAGACAGGAGGAAUUGUUUUAUAUUAGUCAGUGGUCUAACAGACAGGAGGAAUUGUUUUAUAUUAGUCAGUGGUCUAACAGAUAGUAUUAGGAGGAAUUGUUUUAUAUUAGUCAGUGGUCUAACAGACAGUAUUAGGAGGAAUUGUUUUAUAUUAGUCAGUGGUCUAACAGAUAGUAUUAGGAGGAAUUGUUUUAUAUUAGUCAGUGGUCUAACAGACAGUAUUAGGAGGAAUUGUUUUAUAUUAGUCAGUGGUCUAACAGACAGGAGGUAUUGUUUUAUAUUAGUCAGUGGUCUAACAGAUAGUAUUAGGAGGAAUUGUUUUAUAUUAGUCAGUGGUCUAACAGAUAGUAUUAGGAGGAAUUGUUUUAUAUUAGUCAGUGGUCUAACAGACAGUAUUAGGAGGAAUUGUUUUAUAUUAGUCAGUGGUCUAACAGAUAGUAUUAGGAGGAAUUGUUUUAUAUUAGUCAGUGGUCUAACAGACAGUAUUAGGAGGAAUUGUUUUAUAUUAGUCAGUGGUCUAACAGAUAGUAUUAGGAGGAAUUGUUUUAUAUUAGUCAGUGAUCUAACAGACAGGAGCUAUUGUUUUAUAUUAGUCAGUGGUCUAACAGAUAGUAUUAGGAGGUAUUGUUUUAUAUUAGUCAGUGGUCUAACAGACAGUAUUAGGAGGUAUUGUUUUAUAUUAGUCAGUGGUCUAACAGACAGGAGGUAUUGUUUUAUAUUAGUCAGUGGUCUAACAGAUAGUAUUAGGAGGAAUUGUUUUAUAUUAGUCAGUGGUCUAACAGACAGGAGGAAUUGUUUUAUAUUAGUCAGUGGUCUAACAGACAGGAGGAAUUGUUUUAUAUUAGUCAGUGGUCUAACAGACCGGAGGAAUUGUUUUAUAUUAGUCAGUGGUCUAGCAGACAGGAGGUAUUGUUUUAUAUUAGUCAGUGGUCUAACAGACAGGAGGAAUUGUUUUAUAUUAGUCAGUGGUCUAACAGAUAGUAUUAGGAGGUAUUGUUUUAUAUUAGUCAGUGGUCUAACAGACAGGAGGAAUUGUUUUAUAUUAGUCAGUGGUCUAACAGACAGGAGGAAUUGUUUUAUAUUAGUCAGUGGUCUAACAGACCGGAGGAAUUGUU